rnacentral:rRNA from 1 species
GACGAACGCUGGCGGCGUGCUUAACACAUGCAAGUCGAACGAAGAUGCCGGAGUGCUUGCACUUUGGCAGACUGAGUGGCGGACGGGUGAGUAACGCGUGGGUAACCUGCCUUAUACAGGGGGAUAACAGUUGGAAACGACUGCUAAUACCGCAUAAGCGCACGGUAUCGCAUGAUACAGUGUGAAAAACUCCGGUGGUAUAAGAUGGACCCGCGUCUGAUUAGCUAGUUGGUGAGGUAACGGCCCACCAAGGCGACGAUCAGUAGCCGGCCUGAGAGGGUGAACGGCCACAUUGGGACUGAGACACGGCCCAAAACUCCUACGGGAGGCAGCAGUGGGGAAUAUUGCACAAUGGGGGGAAACCCUGAUGCAGCGACGCCGCGUGAGCGAAGAAGUAUUUUGGUAUGUAAAGCUCUAUCAGCAGGGAAGAUAAUGACGGUACCUGACUAAGAAGCACCGGCUAAAUACGUGCCAGCAGCCGCGGU